CGCGGCCUAUCAGCUUGUUGGUGAGGUAAUGGCUCACCAAGGCGACGACGGGUAGCCGGCCUGAGAGGGCGACCGGCCACACUGGGACUGAGACACGGCCCAGACUCCUACGGGAGGCAGCAGUGGGGAAUAUUGCACAAUGGGCGAAAGCCUGAUGCAGCGACGCCGCGUGAGGGAUGACGGCCUUCGGGUUGUAAACCUCCUUCAGCAGGGAAGAAGCGAAAGUGACGGUACCUGCAGAAGAAGCGCCGGCUAACUACGUGCCAGCAGCCGCGGUAAUACGUAGGGCGCAAGCGUUGUCCGGAAUUAUUGGGCGUAAAGAGCCCGUAGGCGGCUUGUCACGUCGGGUGUGAAAGCCCGGGGCUUAACCCCGGGUCUGCAUUCGAUACGGGCAGGCUAGAGUGUGGUAGGGGAGAUCGGAAUUCCUGGUGUAGCGGUGAAAUGCGCAGAUAUCAGGAGGAACACCGGUGGCGAAGGCGGAUCUCUGGGCCAUUACUGACGCUGAGGAGCGAAAGCGUGGGGAGCGAACAGGAUUAGAUACCCUGGUAGUCCACGCCGUAAACGGUGGGAACUAGGUGUUGGCGACAUUCCACGUCGUCGGUGCCGCAGCUAACGCAUUAAGUUCCCCGCCUGGGGAGUACGG
rnacentral:rRNA from 1 species